CCCUUAGAUGUUCUGGGCCGCACGCGCGCUACACUGUUCGACGCAGCGAGUCUUAACCUUGACCGAAAGGUUUGGGUAAUCUUCAGCAAAGUCGAACGUGAUGGGGAUCGAUCAUUGCAAUUAUUGAUCGUGAACGAGGAAUUCCUAGUAAGUGCAAGUCAUCAGCUUGCGCUGAUUACGUCCCUGCCCUUUGUACACACCGCCCGUCGCUCCUACCGAUUGAGUGGUCCGGUGAAUAAUUCGGACUGAGGAUUUAGGCAGUUUCUGUCUUUAUCUUCGGGAAGUCUAGUGAACCUUAUCACUUAGAGGAAGUAAAAGUCGUAACA
rnacentral:rRNA from 1 species